rnacentral:lncRNA from 10 species
GGGUGGAGUGUGGGGUGUCUGGGGAACAGAUGUGAGCCUGACUUGAUCUUCUGCAGCUGCAGACAGAGAGAGAGAGAGAGACAGACAGACAGACAGAGAGAGAGAGACAGAGAGAGAGAGAGACAGAGAUAGAGAGAGACAGAGAGAGAGACUAGAAGAUGCUAUGCUGUUGGCUUUGAAGAUGGAGGAAGGUGUGUAUGAUAAACGCACCUGACGGUGAUAACUUGACUUGAGCAUACACUAACAAUGACCCUCUGAUAUGGUUUGGCUUUGGGUCCCCACCCAAAUCUCUUCUCGGAUUGUAAUCCCC